AUAACUUUGCCAAAGUUCUCUGCCAAAGUUGAGCACGUGAAGCUUGCAGCUUCCACUACAUCGCUCUGACCAAGAACGGGUAAAAGAAUAGCAAAGAAACAGCACUAACAAAGUUUAGACACAUAAAUUUUGAAGGUCUAGCUACCAUAUUAUUACCCACAAGGGUAAAGGAACAGUAUCACUGCUGGAUAAUUGGAAAGUCCCUGUGUGUCAACCUCUGUGCUUCGUGGCAAGGUAGACUAGCAAACAUGCCCAACCUUUACUCACAUUCGAGAAAACACUCCCAACAAGAUUGCUUGCUCCAAAAUCGAAGAGGCACCGUCCUCCGAAUCUCGAGAGCCAGACUCCCAACAUGACUACUUUCUCAAAAAUCGAAAAGAGGGUAAAGGAACAGUACCAUUGCUGGAUAAUUGGAAGUCCCUAUGUGUCAACCUCUGUGCUUCGUGGCAAGGUAGACUAGCAAACAUGCCCAACCUUUACUCACAUUCGAGAAACACUCCCAACAAGAUUGCUUGCUCCAAAAUCGAAGAGGCACCGCCCUCCGAAUCUCGAGAGCCAGACUCCCAACAUGAUUACCUUCUCAAAAAUCGAAGAGAUACCGCUCUCCGAAUCUCGAGAGCCAGACCCUCAGCAGGAUUGCUUUCUCAAAA
rnacentral:lncRNA from 1 species